CCUUUGACGUUAGCGGCGGACGGGUGAGUAACACGUGGGUAACCUACCUAUAAGACUGGGAUAACUUCGGGAAACCGGAGCUAAUACCGGAUAAUAUUUCGAACCGCAUGGUUCGAUAGUGAAAGAUGGUUUUGCUAUCACUUAUAGAUGGACCCGCGCCGUAUUAGCUAGUUGGUAAGGUAACGGCUUACCAAGGCGACGAUACGUAGCCGACCUGAGNGGGUGAUCGGCCACACUGGAACUGAGACACGGUCCAGACUCCUACGGGAGGCAGCAGUC
rnacentral:rRNA from 1 species